UGUGCUUGCACUAGGAUGAUUUCAGGGUAACUAACUUCUGUCAGAGAAACCAGAAACCCUGAUCUCAGUCCACCACCCUGGGAUCUCCUGCCCUGUCCCCAGAAAGGGAACA
rnacentral:lncRNA from 1 species